AAACUUAGGCUAACAU
rnacentral:tRNA from 1 species